rnacentral:rRNA from 1 species
GACGUAGGGCGCGAGCGUUGUCCGGAUUUAUUGGGCGUAAAGAGCUCGUAGGCGGCUUGUCGCGUCGUCCGUGAAAACUUGGGGCUCAACCCCAAGCUUGCGGUCGAUACGGGCAGGCUAGAGUUCGGUAGGGGAGACUGGAAUUCCUGGUGUAGCGGUGAAAUGCGCAGAUAUCAGGAGGAACACCGGUGGCGAAGGCGGGUCUCUGGGCCGACACUGACGCUGAGGAGCGAAAGCGUGGGGAGCGAACAGG